UCCCGGGAUCCCCCCCAGGUUCCCAGGGAAGGGCCGUGCCGGGGGUGGAAACGGGAACCUUUAUUGGGGGUUUGGGGUCCGGGGGGACCCGAGAAGGAAACACCGGAAAUGGGGAAAGGAGGGAAAAGAAACCGGGAGGGGACAAAAAACGGGAACGGCCCCAAAGGGGGGGGGGAGGGGAAUGUCCUGUGUCUGUCCUGUGUCCGUGUGUCUGUCCUGUGUCCAUCCUGUGUCUGUCCUGUGUCCAUCCUGUGUCCGAGUGUCUGUCCUGUGUCUGUGUGUCCAUCCUGUGUCUGUCCUGUGUCCGUGUGUCCGUCCUGUGUCCGUGUGUCCAUCCUGUGUCCGUCCUGUGUCCAUCCCAUGUCCAUCCCAUGUCCGUGUGUCCAUCCCGUAUCCGUGUGUCCAUCCCAUGUCCAUCCCGUGUCCCUCCCGUGUCCGUGUGUCCAUCCCGUGUCCAUCCCAUGUCCGUGUGUCCAUCCCGUGUCCAUCCCAUGUCCAUCCCAUGUCCAUCCCGUGUCCGUGUGUCCAUCCCGUGUCCGUGUGUCCAUCCCGUGUCCAUCCCAUGUCCAUCCCAUGUCCAUGUGUCCAUUCCAUGUCCGUGUGUCCAUCCCGUGUCCAUCCCGUGUCCGUCCCGUGUCCGUGUGUCCGUCUCACAGCACGAUCCACGUGUAGCGCUCGUUGUCCGCCAGGACCUUCAGGGAGCAGCCUGGGGGGGGGAUGAAGCAGUUUUUGGGGGGAAAGACCCCCAAAAUCAACCCCCCAGACCCCCCGCAGG
rnacentral:lncRNA from 1 species